CCUUUUUCAAACAGCUUCUACCAUUCAUGAUUGCACUGGUCUUUUCAAUUAUCUUGCCAGAGAUUCAGGGAAAAAAAUCAUCUCCCAACAAACCUUUGCAUUUGGGCCUGCCACGUCUCUAAAAUUCAUCUAAUUUGGGAUUCCUCAGACCCAUGUUCUCCCUCAAUAUGAGAGAUCCCAGAGAAGGAACUUUAAAGAGACUGGAGAUGCAUACAGAAUUCAUUGACCUGCUCCUUUUUUUUCAAUUGAUGUAAGCACUUAGAGAUUUUAG
rnacentral:lncRNA from 1 species